rnacentral:tRNA from 1 species
GCGGGUAUAGCUCAGUUGGUUAGAGCGCUACGUUGACAUCGUAGAGGUCCGCCGUUCAAGUCGGCGUACCCGUACCA